rnacentral:tRNA from 1 species
AUUUAUAUAGUAUAAAUAUUAUAGCUGACUUCCAAUCAGUUGAUCUAAAUAACUUAGUAUAAAUA